AACUGUCUGCCUCUGCAUUUCCCUAAUCUCUAGAGUUCUCUGAAAUCUCUUCUUCAUUUUCUGUCUCCCUUUUCUGAAUCGUUCUUGUCCUCGAUCCUACACCUUCUUUGCAAAUCUUUCAUUUAUUGUACUCGCUUUUCAAUUUUUCUUAGCAGAAAAAGGAUCCCCCUUUGUUUCAUCUCUAGAUUUUUCACUCUUUUCCUCGCCUCCUCCCUUAAAUCUAUUCAACUUCUUAUUUUAGCAAUUUAUCCAAACUUCUUAUUUCCCUCUUCCCAGUUGAUUGAUUAGUUCUGCUUAGUUUGAUUAGUUUUGCUUUCCCCUGUCUUUUGAAAGAAAAAAGAAAAAAAGAAAAAAAAGAAAGGGAUAAUGGAAAUUGUUAUCUCCGUUGCGGCAAAAGUUGCAGAGCACUUGGUUGCUCCCAUAAUUUAUCCAUUUACUUACUGCUGCACUUACAAGACCAACUUCGAGAAGCUGAAUAAUGAAGUUAAUAAGCUCAAGAAUGCUAGAGACAGUGUGCAGUAUAAGGUUGAUGAUUCCAGAAUUAAAGGGGACGGAAUCCAACAGCACGUUGAGGAAUGGCUGAUUGCUGCGAACAAGGAGAUCAAUGAAGUCGAAAUACUUAUUGAAGACAAAGAGAAUUCAAACAACCGGUGUUUGAAGGGGUUAUGUCCUAAUUUGAGGACUCGGUACCAGCUUAGCAAGAAAGCAGAAAGAGAGGCGAAUGCUAUUGUUGGACUCCAUGAAAAAGGGAGAUUCGACAGUGUUUCUUUCCGUAUCAUUCCAGAGGAGACAUGGCUUAAGUCUACCCAGGAUUUCAUGCACUUUGAAUCGAGAAAGUCCACCUUGAAGGAGAUACUAGACGCACUCAGCAACCGUAACUUCAACAUGAUUGGGGUGUACGGGAUGGGCGGCAUUGGAAAGACAACGCUGGUGAAAGAAGUUGGCAGACAGGCCAAGGAAAAUAAUCUCUUUGAGAAGGUCAUUUCUUCACGUGUUUCCCAAACACCACAAAUAAAAGAAAUACAAAGAGAAAUUGCAGAGAAGCUGGGCCUGAAAAUAGAUGAAGAGAGUGAAACUGUAAGAGCAUGGAGGCUGCUCGAACAAUUGAAGAAAGAGACGAAGAUCCUCAUAAUCUUGGAUGAUACUUGGGGGAGUCUCGAUUUGGAGGCGAUUGGAAUUCCAUUGGCAGAUGAUAACGGCGGAUGUAAAGUUCUGCUGACAGCAAGAAGUCAAGAUGUGUUGUCUUGUAAAAUGGAUUGUCAACAAAAUUUUUUUGUUGAUGUUCUGAAUGAAAAAGAAGCUUGGAGUCUUUUCAAGAAGAUGACAGGUGAUUGCAUGGAAAAUGGUGAACUGCAAUCUGUAGCGACAGAGGUAGUCAAGGAAUGUGCUGGUUUGCCCAUUGCCAUCGUGCCCGUAGCGAAGGCAUUGAAAAAUAAGAGUCUCUAUGAAUGGAGGAAUGCUUUACUUCAAUUAAAAAGGCCUUGUUUGAGAAGUUUCUCUGGGACACAAGCGGUGGCCGCCUAUUCAACUAUAGAGUUGAGUUACUAUCAGUUAGAAGGUGAGGAACUCAGGCAAACCUUUUUGCUAAUAGGGUACACGUUCAUCUCUUGUGUUGAAGACGUGAUCUGUUAUGGCAUGGGUUUGGGUCUGUUUCAAAACAUCAACACGUUGGAAGAGGCACGGGAUAGAGCACAUACAUUGAUUGAUAAACUCAAGAACUCUUGUUUGUUGCUUGAUGGCGAUACUAGUGAAUGGUUUUCAAUGCAUGAUGUUGUUCGUGAUGUAGCCAUAUCUAUUGCAUCUAGAGUCCAACAUGUGUUUGCGGUGGAAAAUGAGACCAGCUGGCCAGAUAAGGAUACACUGAAGGUUUGCACCGCAAUCUCCUUAUUUAAUACUAAUAUUAGUGAGCUUCCUCAAGGGUUCGAGUGUCCGCAACUUAAAUACUUUCGUAUUAGCAACGAUCCUUCUUUGAGAGUCCCAGAUAACAUUUUUACUGAGAUGACAGAGCUUAGAGUUUUAGAUUUCACUGAGAUGCAUUUGUUGGCAUUGCCUUCAUCGCUUGGUCUCUUACAAAACCUUCAAACAUUGUCUCUGGAUUUUUGUAUACUAGGAGACAUAGCUAUUAUUGGAGACCUGAAGAAAUUAGAAAUACUUACACUUCGAGGUUCUGAUAUGGAGAAACUAGUUGAAGAAAUGGGCGAGCUGACUCAAUUGAGGUUAUUGGAUCUGAGUUACUGUUUCAAUCUACAAGUUAUUCCACCAAAUGUCAUAUCAAGCUUAUCACGAUUAGAAGAAUUGUAUAUCGGUCAGAGUCCCAUUAUGUGGGGGAAGGUUGGAGGAGUCGACGGUGAAAGAAGAAAUGCCAGCCUUGACGAGUUGAAUAAUUUAUCUAAAUUGACCUCUUUAGAAAUACUCAUCCAAGAUGAAAAGACUCUACCAAGAGACUUGUCGUUCUUCAAAAUGCUGCAAAGGUACAGAAUAUCGAUAGGAGAUCAGCGGUGGUGGGAUGGCCCAUGGGAUGGGAUUUCUAGAAAAUUCAAACUGAAGCUCACCAAUGGUGCCAACAUUUGCUUGAACGAGGGGCAUAUCAUGCAAUUGAAGGGUAUUGAAGACCUAACUUUAGAUGGAUUGCCGGACAUGAAGAAUGUUCUUUGUGAACCAGGCAGAGAAGUCUUUCCAAAACUGAAUCGUCUCCAAAUCGAACAUAAUGGCAACCUUGUUCGUCUUGUUGACACAAUGGAUUGUACGCCAGCUCCGACGAUUGCAUUCCCCCUUUUGGAGUCAUUAUUUCUGAGAGAUUUAAGGAACCUUGAGGAAAUAUGUCGUGGUCCACUCACAGCAGAGUCUUUUAGCAAAUUAAAGACCAUAAGGGUGGAAGGGUGUGAUAAAUUGAAAAAUGUAUUUCCAUUGGUCAUUGAACUCACUCAAUUAAGGACACUUGAGCUUCGUUCUCUUCCGCAGCUUACAAGCUUCUGCACAGGUGAUCUGCAUAUUGAAAAGGUACGCGUGCAAGAUUUUUGUAGUUAUUUUUCAAUUCUUACGUACUGAAAAGUAUUUCUACUUUGAGAGUUCAGAGUUUUAUUGUCUUCCUCGCCCUCAUCACUUUAUCUUUUAGUGACAAAAUUUUAGUUAUAUAAAUCAGUUUAUUUAUAUUUUAUAAUAUCCCUUGGGUUGGAUGAAUAUUAAUGUAAUACCAGCUUCUUACUAUAUUAUUAAGUUUUUUAAAUUCGUGCAAAUUUUCCUUCUUUUCAUAUGUGCUAGCAAUUCAAGCUGUUUAUUCAUUUUUGCUUUUGUUAAAAAAAAAAAGUUAAAAUAUCCAAUUUUAAAAAAAAUAAAUUUGUAUGAUUUUCAAUUCAAACCAAAUAAACCGAUCGAUUAAAAGAAUCUGGAAGUUUAAAUGUAAAUUAAGAAUAAUUGAGAACAAUAUAUAUGUAUGUAUGUAUGUAUGCAUCUAUCUAUCUAUCUAUCUAUCCAUGCAUGUAUUGUCUGGCCAUCAAUAUUAUUCAUCAUUAGAAUGCUUUGCAUUUACUUUAAUAUGUGAGGUUUUUAGAAAGAAGAUCAACUCCACCCUGUGUUUUUCUGUGACCAUCAAUACGCAUCAUUGGAAUGCUUUGUUUUUACUUUAAUUUGUGAAAUCGUUAGAAAGAAGUGCUAACUGCAUCUUGCCACUUUUGUGAUUGAUGAUCACCCAGGUGUUCCCCAAUUUGGAGAAAUUGAGGGUUGAUGAAAAGCACAUAGGUCUAUUUCCAGAAGACUUGCUUUGCAAACUUAAAUGUCUUCAUGUCCGGCUUGAUGAGUCAGCUGCUAUUGUAUCACUUGACGAUUUCCUCCACAGAUUUCAAGCCAUCAAAGUUCUUGUUAUAAAAGAAAACGAUGACGAUGAUCCAUCUGACGAGUUUGAAAAUGGAAUGAAGGUAGUGAUAACAGGAAUAAAUCAGCGUCGUGAUCUGAAGCAGAUUUUGAAAGGAGAGUCCUCCAAUACCAAUAAUAACACUCAAGCAGAUCUGAAGCAGAUUUUUACAAGCUUCUGCACAGGAGAUCUGCAUUUUGAAAAGGUACGUGCAAGAUUUUUGUAAUUAUUGUUCAAUUCUUAGGUACUUAAAAGCAUUUCUACUUUGAGAGUUUAGAGUUUUCUUUUCGUCAUUGCCCUCAUCACUUUGUCUUUUAGUAAGAAAAUGUUAGUUCUAUAAAUCACUUUAUUUAUACUUUAUAAUAUCCUUAUAAACAUAAUUAUCACUCUUCAAUAAAUCUUCUCAUUAUUGAAUAUUGAAUUCAAUAAAUCUUCAAUAAACAUAAUUAUCACUCUUCAAUAAUGUUAGUUCAAUUUUUUUUCUCUUAAUUAUCAGAGUUUUUCUUCUUCCUCUACUUUUUAUUUUAUGUCUAUAUGUUUAGUUAAAUACACGGAAGAGACAGUGCAUUUGAUUAGCCAAACAAAGAAAAUACUCAUAAGAUUUAGAGUUUUUCAAGCCAUAGUUAAUUCCCUGAAAAUCGUUCAAGAGCUAUUUCCAAAUUAGUACUCCUUAGUACAGUAUUGUUACAUACAAAAUGAUUAUCAAUUUUGAUGUUGAAGUAGAAAUUGGUCAUCUUGUGCUAACAUAAAUAAUAUUUUUGAAAUAUAUAUAGAAAGAUGGACAAAACUCAAAUUAAGAAAUCUUAUUCUAUUAAACUUUAUGUACAAUAAAAUCCAUUCUUGCACAAUAAUAAAUAUAUCUAAUUCCAUUGAGUUGGAUGAAUAUUAAUGAAAUACCAGCUUCUUACUAUAUUAUUAAACUUUUAAAAUUCAUAUUAUUUAUUCAUUUUUGCUUUAAGAAAAAGUUAAAAACUCCAAUAUUUUUUUAAAAAAGAAAUUUGUAAGAUUUUCAAUUCAAACCAAAUAAACGGAUCAAUUAAAAGAAUCUCAAAGUUUAAAUGCAAUUUGAGAAUAAUUGAAGUCUUUUUCAUAGAGAUUAUGCACAAAUCUAAUAAACUUUGAAAAUCUAUCUACUGGACAAGAGUUAAGAAGAGAGAAUGGAAGAAAAUACACAUUACUUAAAUGGAAUGCUUUGUAUUUACUUUGUCUUUACAGCUGAAAAUCAUACUCUCUCCGCAUAUGCAUAUAUUUGUCCGGCCAUCAAUAUGCAUCAUUGGAAUGCUUUGUAUUUACUUUAAUUUGUGAAAUCGUAAGAAAGAAGUGUUAACUCCAUCUUGCUUUUUUCGUGAUUGAUGAUCACCCAGGUGUUCCCCAAUUUGGAGAAAUUGAGUGUUGAUGAAAAGCACAUAGGCCUAUUUCCAGAAGACUGGCUUUGCAAACUUAAAUGUCUUGAUGUCUGGCUUGAUGAGUCAAGUACUAUUUUAUCACUUGACGAUUUCCUCCAGAGAUUUCACACCAUCAAAAUUCUCUCUAUAGGAGGGAACAAUGAGGCAGAUUUGGAUACAUCAUUUGAAAACCUUGAAAAUGGGAUGGAAGCAAUGAUGAGGGGAAUAAACCAGCGUCGUGAACUGAAGCAGAUUUUCAAACAAGAGUCAACCAAUACCAACAAUUUGGAACAGCUGAAGAUACUUUUUUGUGACAAUUUGACUAAUCUAGUGCCAUCCUCGACAUCGUUUCAGAACCUAACAACUUUGAUUGUAUGUCUUUGCCACGGAAUGAUACACGUACUAACAUCCUCAACAGCAAGGAGUCUGGUGCGACUGAGACGAAUGCACAUAGUUUGCUGCGAGAUGAUAACAGAAAUAGUGGCAGAUGAGGAUGAUGAGGGAGAUAAUUAUGCAGCAAAAGAUGAAAUUGUUUUCAGCGAUUUAAAGGAAUUGAUUCUUUUGGACUUAGAAAGUCUGACUAGUUUCAGCUGCUCUGGGAAUAAUUGCGACUUCAAAUUCCCAUCUCUGGAAACAUUAGUGGUGGAAGAUUGCCCCAAUAUGAAGAUUUUCUCAGAAGGGGAAUUAAGCACACCCAAGUUACACGAAGUGCAGAUGAGCCUAGUCGAUAAGAAACUUGGGGCUUGGGAUCGGGACCUUAAUACAACCAUUCAAUACGUAUAUCUUAAAAGAAAAAAGGUAAGUAUUCAUUCACUAUGAGAUGUUGAUUUUUUUUUCUUCUAAAAAUUACUGAUUUAAUAACAGAUAUAUAUAAAAAAGUAAAAAGAAAAAAAUACAUAUUAAUUUUUUUAUAAAUUCAUUUUAAAUCUGAUUAGGAAGGGGAGGAAAAAGAGAAUGAGAAGUCCGCCGAGGCGAAUGAAAAGGAAAAAGAUGCGAAAAACAGUGGUAAGAUAAACGGGAGGUUUUGAUUUGAUUCUAUUUUACUGACUAAAAAUGUUUUAUUUAUGUUGAAUUGUUUGUUAAAUCAUAUUGGUACAUCUUUUUUAAAUAUAACUACUCUGCUCUGUUGUUAUGUUGAGGAUUAGUUGUUAUACAGACAUAGCGAAAAAUAAACGAAUAAAAAAUGAAAUUAAUUGCUUACAGAGAGAAUUGAAGGAUUUUUGUGUCCUUAAUCGAGGUUAAUUUGUGCAAUUUAAUUAUGUGAAAACUACACCUUCAAUGUGUUUUUACUCUUUGUCUACAGAGUCUCCAAACUUAUGAAGACGAUUCAUGCUACUUGUGCAGCAUUUUGGAUAAGGCUCGAGCUCGAGUUCUUUCUAUAUAUUAAGAGUCAUAUGGUGUUGGUGAGAGGAUUUUUUUGUUUCAGUUUUCAUUCAUUAUCUUUCUUUUAGCUUUGUUUGAGUACUCAGAAAUCCAAUUUGAGGCUAGUUUUAUUUCUUAUGGAUGGUGUCCAAGAUCUGCCAUAUUCAAUUUGUAGUCAUCUUAAAAUCUCUUUAAGUCCUAAAUUAAUUAAAGAGAUGUGUGCAUCAUAUUUGUGUUCGUGCACCUAUUGGUAUUUUUUGGAGACAAUUAUAUAAGAAAUUAUGUAAUUUCAUGAAAAUAUCAAGAUUUUAUAUAGAAAAUUAUGGAAAAAUAAAAGUUUACUGGUCAAUUGCUCACUGUAGACAACAUGUGGAUCCUCCCUGGUUAAUGAUCCCAAGUUCCUCCAUUUACAUUAUUAUUAAUUAUUUUUGUUGGUGAAAGCUAAUUGAUUAGAAGAAUGCGACAAUAAGAAGGUUAAAUACUUAGCUUAUAAUCAGAUACAUAAAAUCAUCAUCAUCACAAGAUUAUCACAGGUGUAAUAUCAAACUAACUAUUGAAAACCUUUGAAUGGUCUUCCAAUUUUGAAAAUGCCGGCAGCCCUUGCAACUUCCAGGAAACUUCGAUUAUCUACCAAGCAUAUCAACUGUUCGAUGAAAUGCCCAUGUAGCUGUUCCAACUUAUUCCCCUAGAAUUGGCCUGGGGGGCAGCUGCGCGGUGGCAGCGCAGCUGCCCCAAACAGGUCCUUGGAGACAUGAGUUUCAUUAAAGUAGCAUCAUCUCACUGAUAUAAUGUAUUAAUGUAAUAAAUGAGCUUUCUUAAAGAUGAUUCAGGCCAACCUUCUGUGCAGCAUCAGGAAUGAGGCCAAUUUUCUUUGAAAUUUGUGAGACAUGGUAUGCAGCUCGUGUUUUUUCUAUCAAGUUAAAAGACUGUAAGAGGGUCUUCAUUUUUUAUUGUCAUUGUUCUACAUUUUGGCUUUCCUUGAUUACUCAAACCCAGUUUCAGAGAGUUAUAAUACAACACUUUAAAGAUGUGUGAAUCAGACUUGUCUAGUGUGCACGUGAGCCAUGUGUUAGAUUGCUGGUGUAGUAGUAAAAGUUGACAUUCAGCACAUGUUCAUUGUAGUAGACAUUCAGCACAUGUUCAUGUACAGAAAUUGGAGUUUUAGGCCAUCAGACAAACAAAUUGUGAAACAAGUGGGUAGAGGGAAUAAUAAAAAUCGAAAGACAUGGAUAGGAGAUCAUUGAUAGAAUCUAAAUACAAAUUCAAUCAAUUCAUUAAGCCAUCAAAAGUUAGUUACAAACCACUCUAUCUUAACAUAUGUAAUUUACCAUCAUCUAAAACUGCUAUAUCCUAACAUAUGUAAUGUACCAUUAUCAAUUUCUGCUAUGUUAUGUUUGUAUAGCCUAAUAUGUUUGGCUUGGUCUUGUCUAAUAUAUCCUGCUAUGUUAUGUUUUUUCUAUCAAGUAAAAUAUUCGCCCUCCAAAAUUUCAAAUACUCCUCUUACAUUAUUUAAAAAAAGGCGUGUUUGGGAUUGCGGUUGAUUCUUGAAUAGGAAUCUAUACUCUCUAGUUGUGCUCGAAUUAUCAAAUAACUUUUAUUAAAUAUAGACGAUUUAAGUUGUUCGGUGCUACACUGACAAGUAAUCACAUAAGUAAUAAUAGCAAACAUAAUUUGGAAAUAGAUUUUCAAACGAGUAAUCAUUUGAGAAUCCAUCACAAUUACAGACAUGAACGAAAUCAGAUUUAAAAAAUAAAAAAAAUAUAAAUAAAUUAAAAAACAUAAACUAAUCAUAAAUUUUUAAUUAAUUAAUUAACUGAAAAUAGUUUAUAAAUAGUGGCAGUGAAAGACUCAUAUAAUUCAGGUAUACACAUAUACCUCGAUUUGGGUGAAAAGGGCAUGAAGGCCGCGAGAUUUGAAGAAGAAAUCAACGGCGUCGUUUUGACCAGAGACAUUGUUCUGAUCAGCCGCGCUGGUGGGCCGGAGAUGGGCCCCACCUACGGCUUGUUUCCCUCCCCUCACAUCACUCCCAGACAGACAUAAUCCCAUCUCUUUUCUCUCUCUCUCUCUCUCUCUCUCUCUCUCUCUAUUCUCGAAAAUUAAAAAAUUAAUCCAAAAAAAUUUACCCAAAAGUUUUUGCAACUUUGCGUCACAGAGUACGGAGUCUUACUGUUCGAUUGAUGUUCUUUAAUCUCUCAAAUCCGUAGCCUCUGAAAGAGAACUGGAACGGGGCUUUAUUUUUGCUCUCCUCUAUUUAUAAGCUUUUGCGCUAGCUUGAGUCGUUGUAUUUGAAUUUGACUCUGAUUCUCCGGCGAAAAUGUAAAGAAAUUUCUACUUAUUAAUUUAAUUGCUUUUUCAUAAGGAAAAAAAAGAAAAAAAGAUUAAUGUAGAAUAAUGUAGAUGAUCUAAAAGAUUUUGUCUUUUUUUUUUUCCUCUCCUCAAAAUAUAGAAUAAUGUAGAUGAUCGAUUGUUUUAAUGUAUUGGGAACGUUUAGGUCCACCUAAUUAUUAAUAAUAGAUAAUUAUAUCAAAAUUUACCAACUGAUAAAUUUCAAAAUUUAUCAAAAUUUUCCAUUGUAUGCAUGAAGACAAAUACUAGAAUUUAGAGUAAAGAAUCGGUAAAUUUGUAAAGAAAUAUGAAGAAACAGCAAGGUUUUGAAGAAUUCAAUUUAUCACUAUAUUUGGACAUUUGGACGUCAUUAAUGUUUUUGAUUAAUAAAUAUUUCGUCUUCCCCAAGGUUUUUGAUUAAAAGAAUGACUUGAUAUGGCUGAUGUUGAUAAAUUAGAAAGGGAAAAUAAUAAACAAUGGAGGAAUUUUCAAAUUAGGUCAACAAUCUUAGUCUAUUUAAUUUCGUAAUAAUGGCAAUGAGCUUCUUGACGAAGCCCUUAUAACAUAAGCAUACAAACGUAAUCAAGAUGUCUGUGGAAAGCAAGUAACAUUUAACAAUUCCAGUGGGGUGGAAUAAAAUGGCAUUCACAAUCAACUACUAAGGUACUGAAGGUUCAAUCGUUUAAGGGUAUUGAUAGUUUCAAUAAAAUGACAAACUCCUCUACAUAAUCAAUAGUAAUUGAUCAUGUACGUGUACAUUUAAGUUGGAAAAAGAAGAAGAAGAAGAUAAUUAUAGUAUAAUAAAAUCAGAAUGCGUAUGUCAUAACUAAUUUCACUAAAUGGUUAUAAUACGUUUUAUGUACUUGAGAUUUUCUCAUAAUGGGAAAAGAAAAAGGCUCAUCCGCGUACAUGAAUAAGAUUACUUGCCACGAUUACCAAUUUUUCAUCACUUUAUUAAUUCUUUUUCUUCCUGUACAUGAAUCUUGUUAAAUUCAACUUUCUAUUUUACUUUUUUUUUUUUUUAAAUUAUUUUCUAUAUCAUACUUUGAAUCUUGUUGAAGGAAUCUUUGCAUUCUUUUGUCCGCAUGUGCAACACAAAUAAUAUUUUACGUUACACUUGAUAUUCAUUCAUAUAAAUUAAUCAAGGAUAAUAUAUAUAUUGCCAAAUUGAUUAAAAUAAUUAUUAAUUUAAAAUUAAUAAUUUCUUUAUCCAUAACACUGAUAAUAAAGUCCGAUUAUAUAUAGGCAUGCACACUUUUCCAUGGGGGAUUGAGAAUAAAAUUUUAUAGUGGGUAAUUAGUUGCAACCGUGUUGGUAGAUGCACCUACCUAAUAUUAAUUAAUGAUUGAAAAAAAAAACAUUUAGUUCAUAGUUAAAAUUUUAUAGUGAGUAAUUAUGUUUCUUUGUUGAUUGUGCUCAUGAAGUGGAUAGAAAUAGCUAUAUACAAUAAAAUAUUUCUCCUAUGUAGUCAUAAGGAUAUACUCUAAAUUAUAAUAAGUUAUAAUUUUUUUAAGUCUUGUCUAAAAAGAAUUUGUCCCCGCAUAAUAAUAUUAUUCGGCUAUUGCAAAAAAGUAUAGACUUUUUUUUUUUUAAUUAAUCCUACCUUUAAUAUCAAUUUCUGACAUAACCCAGUAAUUAAUUAUUAAUAUAGUAAAUAUUUUACCUCUAAUUUAAAUGCACAAAGGAUAACUAAGUGAAAACGAUAAUUUAUGUAACUAUAUCUUUACUAAGUUAAUUAUAACAUUCUCAUAUUAAUAAAAUUAACUUACCUCAAUAUUAUGAUUAUAGAGAAAUUGGACUAUAUUUGAGAAUUUUGAAAAUGAUGGUCAUGACUUAUGUGCUCGAUUUGUGAUUUUACGUUGAAGUUGGUAGAACUAAACCAUCAAAACGUUUAAAGCAUAUUGUCGUUAGUCUUUGUUUCUGGGUAGACAAAAGUGUCAAAUACUAUGUUGAUCAAUAAGAACAUUAUUGAAUCUUUUUUUUUCCUUUUUUCUUUUUUAAAUGACAAAUGAGAGAUGAAUUCAAAUUAAUUAGGAAUUUUUAUCCAUUAUUAGAGUUGUGCUAGUAUUUUUUUUUCAACUACUAAUUACAACAACCUUAAGUAAAACCAACAUAUAUUAUAUAGCUCAUCAUGUGAGCACGGAAUCCGACAUUCCUUUGAGACUUAUAUAUCUCUCAAAUUAAAAUACCGCAAACACGAAUAUUAAACAAAGUAAUAAUCAAAAUAACACAUUUCCUUGCAACGACUCAUUAUGAUUCCAAGUGAAAUGGUUCGUUCGACCAAAAAAUGCCGGAAAAAAUGUAAUUCAAGUUGGCUUCCUCUUUCAUAUUCAGUUCAGAACUUUAGAUUUGGUGUAAAUGAAGGGAAAAUGCCUACGAAUAUGUUCUCAGCUUGCCCGUCGUCUUGGCGAGCUUCUAGUUGUUUUCGUAAUUACGUCGUCACAACGACUGAUGCGGAGUAUGUAGAAAAUAAAGUCAUUCAAAGCCGUACAAAAGUGGAUAACCAAUCCAAUCCACUUUUGGCUCGUCAUUGAGUAAUUUGAGUCAAUUAUCCAGUUUGGUCAAUAUUAUAUUUUAAAAGAUUAUUCAGAACAUCUCUUUACUUACUUUCUUAGUUGCUGGACAUAAAUUUUUAAAGCUAAAACAGAAUUUUUAUAUGAUAAAAUUUAAAAUUAAAAAUAAUUUAAUAUAUAGCGGAUGGAAAAUAGAAAAUAAUUAGGUAGAUUUUAACCAAAAAAGAAUAUAGAAUUUAUAUUUUUUUUAGAGUGAAUUUCUAAAAAUAUAUUGACUCCUCCAUGGGUACAUAAACUACAGGGACAAAGAGGCAUUCCCUUUUUUUGUUUUAUGCAAGUCGUCGCAAGGAUUAUUCGUUGUGCGUGUACGUACAAUGACAUGAUCACGUGUCAUCCAUUGAGACUUUUCCAAGACAACAUUUUGUGAUGUACCAUAUGCGUACUAAAUUACAAGUGCAUUUGUUGGGUACAUGCAUGCAUGGACGUGGAAUUCCAUGCAUAAAAUGAUAAAAUACUUUUUCAAUUUUUCUUAGUUUAAUUUGCAAAGAUGUUUCACCAUUAAUUUGAAGUCUUUAGGUUUGGAAAUCUUUAUUCAUCGUAUAUUUGUUUGUCUCUUGGCACAAGCGCAUGCACACACGCACGCACGCACAUGUAUGUGUGUGUAUAUAUAUAUCUUAAUAUGUAUACUUAAGAUAUAUCUAUCAUUGUAAGUUAAACUAAUAAUCACUAAAUAUCCACUUUGUAUUUUGCUCUAGAGCACAAUAAAGUCAAAUUAGUAUUUAUAAUCGAUUUUUUUUUUCUAACAAGUAAAUUGAUAUUGCAUUCCAUUAAACUGCUCACAACAACAAUACAAGUCAUGGUGGCAGUGACGAGAGUAAUUUACAAACUGUCUAUAAAGAACAUAAUUUGUUAAACCAUUAAAUAUUCAAGAGAUACCUUUAAUAACAAGUACUUUCAUGAGCACAUAAAACUUAAAUUUUACAAGAGUUAUUCUCAAAUUUAAGUCCUCUUUUGAUUUGAUCUCUUCUGAACGUUUAAAGAUCUUAUAUAACUUGCCUUUUAAUAUUAAUGUAUGAUUAAAAUUUAACUAUUUUUAUUACUUACUUGAUUAACCAAUAAACAUAUAAGUGAAAUUUGCUUAAAAAUCAGGUCAUUAAAGGAUCCAUCUCAUUAAUGCUUCCCAGUCACUCUCUAUCAUCGAAGUUAUUUGUGCUAACCACCAAUUCACUAGCAAAUAUUGAUUCAUGUUUAAGCUCAUGUGUCACAUACUCAUGAAUACUUAGUGAUCAUUUAUAAAUGUUUAAUUAAUUAAUUGAGUAAAAGAUCAACAUUAAAAAAAAAAUCCCGUUACGCUACUCUGUAUAUACAACGCGUGAUAAAUUAAUUAAUACGGAGUUACCGGUAGCAAUUUAUAAAAAUUAAUUAAUAGGGAGUUAGUGAGUUACACGGCUGCUAUUAAUACUUUCAUUAAAGUGUGAAUGAUUUAUUAACAAGAAUUUCAAUAUAGAAAUUUCACCAAAACUGUUUAAGCUUGAUUUUUUAAUUCUGCAUAGCAAUGAGUCCAUGACGGCUCCAGCACUAAUCUCAUCAUGAAACAAAGGUAAAAUUAACGAAGUUUCUUUUUUCUUAGAAAAUCAUUGACAUCAAUAAGGUAAAACUAGUACAAGAUAAACCGAGACUAAUUUUAUUUUAUUUUUAAACAUUCUAUUAAAUUUUUCUGUCUAAAUAUCAUUGUUCUCUAUUUCAGAGUCAAGUCAAAAUUGUACAAAAUGAAAAAGAGAGGGUUAAAAUGGAUGGAAAUGACAAUAAAGAAAAUAGCUAGCUUUUUGCAAGAGCUUUUGAAGACGAUAGGCUUGUGCUCUUAUCAUGAAGCUUUUACGUCUUAUGCUUGUAGAAUUGACCCAGCGAAAAGGUUUAAUGAAUCCCCGUGAGAGUCUUUAAUGUGUUUCCGGGAAGAUAAUCAAUUAAUUAACUGCACCAAUUAAGCAGUUGAAUGAUCUACUAAGCAAGUUCAUAAAAUCUUAAUGUAAUCUAAUUGUUCGGAGAAAGUAUUUAAGAUCGAAUGAAAGAUGAAUUUCAGGGACUCUUCCAAUUGCAACCAGUCAUCAUGGAUAUUCCAAUCAGUGAAGGAUUCUUUCGACACAAGGAAAAAUAAAAGAUAAAAAAGGGUCAAUAAAGACGAUGGAGAAUAUUCAAAUAAAGUCUUUAACGUAUGUAAAUGUAAUGUAACUUUAAUUUGACAACUGCGGGCCUGACGAAUCCCUUGCAACGUGAGCACAAUGACACAGAAAGGAUAGUGCAAAUCAAAGUGGUCGUCUUUAUGAAUUACGAGAGAGAGCGUAACACAAGUUAUCCAAAUUCAGUCAGUCAAGAUAGGUCAAAUUAGCUUGCCAUUGUCGUUUUCGGGGAAAAAAUGUUAGAAUAAAAUGUUAAAAGAAAAUUUAGAAUGUCUACUAACUACUAAUAUGAGAAAGAGUAAUAAAGACUUUAGAAUUAAAAAAAGAAAAUAGUAGCAGACAAUUAAUAGUUGUAAAUGGCUAAAGUUGUUUCAUAUAACAUUUUAGACAGGCCCGACUUUAACCAAUUGGGGGCCUUAGGCGAAAUUUUAUUUUAGGCCUUUUGAUGUUAAAAUAUCAAAUCUCACAAAAACAUUAAACAGCUCAAAAAAUUCUCACAACAAUAUCAAAUAGCUCAAACUUUAACUAUAUUCAAUAAUAUCUUGAAUUACAACAAUUAUUAACAAGGUCCAAAAAAAAAAAAAUUGUCCGAAAGAUAUCUAUUUAUUUCCACACAAAUAGUAACUAACUUUGUCUUCCACAAAUUCCAUCUUCUUAAGAUGCUCUAAAACUUCAUAAGCCACAACCAUAAUCUUCCUGUGAACUUUAAAUCAUUGCUCCUACCUACUAUGAUCCUUGCUGCAAGCCAUCACUAAUGCAAAUUACUAAUCAAUUAAAUUUUAUUCUUCUUGCUUUUUGAGAUGCAAAAUUAUUAAUUAAAAUCUUAUAUUCUAAUUUAGCUAACAAAUUUUUUUUCAAUAGCUAAUAUUGCUAAUCCAUUUAAUCUUUCUUGUGACAUUGUAGUUCUUAAAUAAGAUUUUAUUAACUUCAAUUUAGAAAAACUUAUCUCAGCAGAAGCAACAGUUACAGGUACAGUCAAUAAUAUUCUAUAAGCAACAAAUGCAUUUGGAAAAGAAUCUACUUUUUUAAUAUAAUUAAGUAUAUCAAGUGGACUAUUUCUUUCCAUGUGUAAAACUUCUUUUAAGACUUUUAACUCUGAAAACAAAUCUAAUCCAUCAAUAUCAGAAAACAUAUCAUAUUUCAAGAUAUUUUCAAGAUUAAUACAAUAACUUUUUAAACUUUCAUCAUCUAAUGAUUUUAAUUUUUCAAAAUUAAAUAAAAAUCCGCAAAUAUUUUCAUAGAAUUGAAACUGCUCAAAUCUAUUGGUGAUUGAAGAAAUAACUUGAUCUACUAUAUAUACAAAGUAAUCAAUUCUAAAAGAAUCUUUGGGAGAUAGAAUUUUCUCUUCAUUAUUAUUCUCGCCAAAUUUAUUUUUUCUACGAAUUAUACGUUUUUCAUGAAAUUUUGGUUCUAUUUCCAUUUCAUUUGCAAUCUCUUUAGCUGAAAUCAUAGCAGACACAAAACCAUUUUAUCUGUAAUUCUCAAAAAAGGAUGUAAGACCUUUAGUUGAUUUAUGGCAACAUCAAUUUGCAUAUAUUCCCUUUGUAAGCUUUUACUAACAGUGUUUACAACAAAUAAAAGCAAAUAAUAUAUCAUACCAAAUAAUCAUGCCUAACAAAAAUUCAAAGUUUUCCAAUUCAUAUGUUGCUAAACAUUUCGCUUCACUUUUUUAUUUUAGGAUCUUCACUAACUUCUGCUAAUUUGAGUAAAGCAUCUCUAAUUUGGGGAGCUUGAAAUCUUAUUGCUUUGACACUUUCUAUGCGACUCUCCCAACGUGUUUGUGACAAUGAUUUAACAGUUAAAUUAGGUAUAUUAUCUUGUAAAAUUUUCCAUCUCUUAGGUGAAGAAGAAAAUAGCGAGUAAAUACGUUGAACAACUCCAAAAAAUGAAAUAGCCUUAGGACAAGAAUUAGCCAUAUCACAAAGCACUAAGUUAAAACUAUGAUAGCCACAUGGUGUGUAAAAUACUCUAGGAUUUAUUUCUAAUAAUCUUUUUUGUACACCUUGAUUUUUUCCUUUCAUAUUAGAUCCAUUAGCAUAUCCUUGUCCUCUUACAUCAUUAAUAUCAAGUUCAAGAGUUUUAAUUACAUCCACAAGUUCAUUAAAAAGACCUUUUCCAGUGGUAUUGUCAACUUGUAAAAAUCCUAAAAAAUAUUCUUCUACCUUUACUAGAUUUGUUGAAAUAUCCACACAUCUUAAUAUAAGAGACAUUUGUUCUUGGUGGCUUGCAUCUGGAGUACAAUCAAGUAUAACUGAAAAGUACUUUGCUUCCUUAACUUUGUUAACAAUUGAUUUUUUUUAUUUCAAGUGCUAGCAUUAAUAUGAGUUCAUUUUGUAUGUUAUGUCCAAGAUAAUGAUCAUGAAUUUCACCGGUUUUAAUACGUCAAAUAUGUUCUUGCAUUGUUGGAUCAAACUCUGCAAUCAUUUCAAUUAAACUUAACAAAUUCCCAUUUCUCUCUUCAUAGAUCUUCUCAUUUUUUCCACGAAAUGCUAAAUUAUUUUUAGCAAGAUUUUUUACAACAGCAAUAAUUCGUAUUAAUACUUUUUGCCAAUGUUCUUUUUCCUUGUCAAUUCUUUCUUGAACAUCUUUAUCAAUUGUUUUUCUUUUUGAUAGUCUUGCUUCUAAAUCAACCCAUGCAUUCAUAUUAGUUAUAUGUUCAUUGGUUGUUUCAUGACUUUUAAGUUUAGAACUAAGAUUUUCCAAUCUCUUAUUCCUUCAUCACUAAGUUGAUUUUUGCUACAACUUGUAUUGAAUAAUUUGCAACAAAAACAAUAUACUUUGUUAAAAUCUUUUGAAUAUAUUAACCAUUUUCUAUCAUGUUUUUCUCCAUUUGUUAACAUUUUAACAUAAAAUGCAGUAGAGAAAUGCCUAGAAUUUUCAUCUUUUGGGAAAGUUAUGUUAUUCUCUCUAAUUGGGCCUUUUUUCUACUAAAAGAUCUCUUAACUUUGUAUCAACAUUUUCCCAUCUUCCUGGAUCAUAAAUAUUAUUUGGAACAAAUAAAUUUUCUACAUCAACUUUGUCCGCAUUUUUAUUUUUAUCAUCUUCAAUGUUGUUUAUUUCAUUCACUGUUUCAUCAUUAUUUAAUUCAUUUAAACUUGGUUGUUCAAUAGCUAAUUCUUCAUUUAAAUCUAUAUCUUUUUUAUUAGUUGUGACAAAUUUAUCAAGAGCUCCUUUUUUAGAUUGGACUAACUUUUCUAUUCUCCUCUUUUUUUUUUCAAUUUUUCAUAUCCCGAUACAUAUUUUCUAGUUGACAUGCUUUUCAAAUAAAAAAAAACAAAUAAACAAACACAAUUUUUUUCUAGAUUAUUCAAGCCAAAAUCAAUACAAAAAAUCAAAAAUAAAUUAAAUUUAAAAAGGAUAAGAACAGUAAUAAUAAAAAAUAGAAAAAAAUAGAAUGAUAGCACCUGGAUUUGAGUCAAUUGACUAGUUGAGAUGAAGAUGAUGAUGGCAAUGAAUUUUGUAGAGAAAGAGAAGAGAGCACAAAUUUUUUUUGCUGAAAAUAGCUUUGAUUCAAUGUGUAUCGGUUUAUAGAUAAUGAGGUUUUAAAUAUAUUUUAAUAGAAUACCAAAAGUUAGUUCUAAAAAUCUAACGUUACUAAUUUUAAUAAGAGUUUUUUUUGGAAAGGGUAAGCAUUGAUUGUUUUUUGGGAAAUAGUUAAAGAAAGUAAAGAAGUAACGUUCAAAAUCAUUAUUAUAGCAUAAAAAUAUAUCUUAUAUUUAAGGUAAAGAUUAUUAAAUAAGAGAGAUAAUUAUGAAUGAGAGUAAUGAUAGGGUAAAGCCUAAAAAUUAGGCUUUUUUUACUGUAUAAAAAAUAUAUACGUAACUUAAUUUUUUUGAAUCUUAAAAAAAUUAAUUAUAUUAAUUAAUAAAUAGAUACAAAAAAUCAGGGCCUUCCUAAAUACGGGGCCUUAGGCAACUGCCUAGUUCGCCUAGCAUUAAAGCCGCCACUGAUUUUAGAAUAAACUUUAAUUUGCCCCUCAUUUAAAAUGAUAAGUCUUUGAUUUACUUCCAGGAGGAUAAGGCUCAAACUCACGACUUCCGCCCUAAGAAGGUAAUGCUCUUAUCAUUCAGUGCUAAGUCUUUGCCUCUAUAAACAACCAUACAAAGAACAUGCAUCUCUUUUUUAUUCCCCCCCCCCCCCCCCCCACAAAAAAAAAAAAGAAAAAGAAAUCCAUCACUGCAUCCACAAUUUGCUCUCACCUUAUUGAAUGAAAAUGAAGGCUAAAUUGAUAUUUUCACUCUUUUAGGUGAUAAAAUCAAGAUUGUUGUUCUAUCGGGAGAAUGAAUUAAAAUUUAUCAACUUUUUAAGUUAGAUUUCUCCGGUAUGUCUCGAAAUGAUUGAGGCUAUAAUAAGUAUAGGUUUUAAUAGAAAAAAAUAUCGGUGGAUUGGCUGUCAAAUAUUCCCUUCACAAAGACAAAAUAUAGCUUUUAUUCUAAUUCUUCAUAGGCUUUAUUUGAUUAUUUCCAAUAACAAUCCAUUAUAACAGUGAAUAGCUUUUUACCAGCCGUAGUUAAGAUAUUGGAUUAGAAGCAUAGUUUGAGAAGCCAAACAAAACUGAUUCCUUGGAAGAAAUGUAUUGAAAACCUUGAAUCACUCAAUAUGUGUAACAAAUUUACAAGUUAUCUUCAAAAUUCCCAAAGCAAACUUCGCCAAAAUUUAAUUUCCCUCCCACGAAAUUUUUUUUUUUUUUUUGCUUUGAGCAGCUAACUUUCACAGUAGGCUUUACAACUCAAAAAAAGCCAUAUCCUAGUUAAAGACAAAUCCAGGUCUUAUAAAGUAGCUUAGGAACACCGCGAUGGGAAAUUCUUGUGCAUGAACAUGCAACUCAAUCAAGCACAGAUAAUGACAUAAUGGAACCGAAUUAAGUGUCGAACAAAAUACAGAAUGAAAAGAGUUAUAUCAUUGGUAAAAAGUUGUAUUGCUAACUGCUUGACACUAUCAGUCAAUUAAUUUUAUGGACUGACCAUCAGUGACAAAAUGCAACAAAUAUUUCGAUAAAGUCAUAAGUUUCCCAAUAGAGCUAAUUGGUUUGAAAGGUUUAAAAUAUACUUUCAAGGCAAAAAAGUUGUCUACAAUUAAACUUUUAUUAAGACUCAUAAUACAGAAAGAAAUUUGCUAAAGAAACAAAUAGUAAAGAGGAUGAAUAGUAAAAAUGCCAUCGGUAAGACAUAGAUGGACCGGAAAAGGAGUAUCUUGAUGAUACUGGUGCAGCUAUCAAUUUUGGCUUGCGCCCUUCGCACGGGUGUUACCUGUUGUGGUUUGAUAAAGCACUUGUGGCAUACAAUGAGUAUAACCAAUCAGCUUGAUCAAUUUCUCUCCCCUUCUUAAGGGAUCAAAUUUACAAUGCUUUCAUAAUGAAUACAGCAGAUGGUGGCUAAUUGCCAAACACUUGACAAUGAUAGGCAAAUUCUUCUGUCAGAAAGCGGGGUGAAAAAGGUCAGAAUCUUGAGACCUGCUCAACCACAAGAUUGCAACAAAAGGGAAUCUGAUAAUAUACAAUGGGAAAUCAGAUUAUUAGCUUUCUCAUGAACAUUUCAAUAAUCUGAGCCACCAGUUUAUGACAAGGAAGCUUCUAAUGGUUACAACAUUCUAAAUCAUAAAAAAUGGUUCGAGGUCUCUAGCCAGAAGCACGUUGUUUAAAAUGUCAUUUGACACACAGCAAUACAAUCCACCAUCCGAUCUUAUUAACUUCCGCUAAAAAUAAAGUGAGAUUUUAUUAAAGAAAGGAAAUUUAUAAAAGCUAACAUACCAUCACAAAAAACUUCUUAGUUCAAAUCUAAGUACAGAUGAAAUAAUCAGAAUAAGUUUAGGCUCGAAAGCAUUGGUGUCUCCUUUAAACAUCUAUUCAAACAAAUUCUGCAAUUCCUCCAAGGUCUCCUCACCAUUUUCCUGUCAAAUUUACAAUCCAAGCAUACAAAGAUAAAUACAAAGCAAUAACACUGCUGGAAGAUUAAGUCAGGUUUGAAUAAUUCAAUUAUUCAAUUCCUCCAAGAACAACUUUUGUGGGGCCCACAUAGAUGUCAAAAAGUAAGCAGUGGGCAUUGCUAGUGCUCAACCGCAAAGGAAAAAGAAAAAAAAAAGAAGAAAUAAGAAGAAGAAGAAGAAAAGAAAGUGGCGGGCCGCUCAGCGGAAAUAAUAAUAAUAAAAUACUAAUAAAUAAAAAAAAUAAUAGGCAUGAACAGAAGCCAAUUUUUGGCUAUAAAGGACGCUUCUCCUCAUUUCAACAUCCAGUUUGAGAGAAGCAUUUCCUACAUUUAGGGAGUUGAGAGUAUUAAGAAUUUAAUAAACUCUUGGCUUGAGAGAUUAGUGAGUAAGCGAUUGGGUACAUUGGGGUUCUGGAUAGUGAGCCAAAAUAUUACAAUACUUGUAAUUCUCAUAUCACUAGUAAAAUAUUUUUCUUCUGUUUUCACCCGUGAAUCUAGGUUAAAAGCCGAACCACUUAAAUCCUGGUGUCCCUGUGUGAUUCUGUUGUCUCAUUAUUUCUCAAUUUCACUUUAAUUGCGUGUCUGCUUCACCAAUCAAUUUCCCAACAAUAGAACUUAUAUGUAAUUCGCCAUUGAACAAGACCAAAACUAGGCACCAUGAAUCACUACUUUUCAGAGCAUGAACACACUGAGGAUAAAAAUAAAAACAGAUUAAAAUAUGUUGCCCUUGUGACUAAAUGACCCAUUUGCAAUCUGAUUAGGAGAAAUCAAAAUACCGUCAUUCUUUUGCCAACCAGCAAAGUAAAAGCCAUAACUAAAGCUUGGAAAAAGCUAAAUAAUGCCUAGGAAUUUCCAAACACAAUUCUCAAAUUAUUCUAUAGAAAACAUAAAUAUGCAUUGAAGAAUGCUUACAUUAGUUUGUGUUUGGCUCAUCAUCACAGCCAUUUCAUUCAAGAAAUCUCCCAUUCCCUCAAAACAAAACUAAAAAGUCUCAUGUAAUAAAAUCCUCCCCCGUUCCCCACCCCCCCCCCCUUCUUGUAGGAGUUAAUUUUCAUGUAUCUUCAAAGAAACAAAAGCGCAUUAAAAAGUUAAAGAUGAAAUGAAAACAAUAUAUAUAUAUAUAUAUAUAGAGAGAGAGAGAGAGAGAGACACACACACACACACACACACGCGCGCGCGCGCAAAAUUGGAGCUCAUAUUAUUUUUUUCAUCAUCACUAUCAUAGACUCCUACAUAGUACAAGAACCUCUUGUUGGCAUCAGAUAGAACUUGAAGAGAGAAGAAGGAAAACAACAUCUCGUGAAUCCGAUAAUUAUCCAUCAUUAUAAAAAAGAUUACAAUUUUAUUUCUUAUUGUAUACUACAAAUUACAUGCAUAAUAAAUAAAUAAAUAAAUAAAUAAAUAAAUAAGAAUUAAAAUUUUUGGAAUUUAGUAAGGUUAACAGCAGAAUAGGCAUGUUGAAUGGCGUAAAAUCUCUUCGUGGCUACUUUCACAAAUUUUGGAUCUCUUGAAGUUGAACAACGACUUGGAUAUAUAGAGCCACAACCACCUUGUAAAAAAAAAAUCAUACAUAUGUUGCAUGAGAAGAUUGGUUGUAUAAAACUGUUAUAGACCCACAUGAUUUAGAAAAAUAAUAGUUAUCCAUUUUUAGUUAAUGUCUUUAUGCCACGUUAGUUUGUUUACACAAGUUCUUAAUGUUUGUGGUUAUAUCAUUAUUGAUUUCGAAAAUAAUAUUUUAAUAUUUUUAUUGCAAAUGAUAGGAUAUUUUUUGACACAUUGGAUGCUUUUGGAUUUAAUGAUACCUUUGUUUAUUUCAUUUAUUGUUUCAUCUAACAUUGUUUGAUGAGUGAUGAUAGAGUUAAAAGCUCUUGUAUAAACUUAUUUUAUACCAAUUUGAAAUUUAAAUUUAUUGAUUGAAUGAAAUUACCAAAUAAUAAAAAUAAAUAAUGUGGGUCAAGAGCUAGGGGUAAGCAAACUCAAUCCAAUCCCGGUGAAUUCAAUCCAACCUGACAAAUCCAGUCCAACCCAAUCUAAUCCAAUCAAAUUUUGAUGGAUUAAGUGAAUUAUUAUAGGGUUAAUUAGGUAAUUUUUUAGAAUCUAAUUAAUAAUUGGGUUGGGUUGGGUUGGAUUGGGUUAAUUAUGAUAAACCUGUCUCACCCAACCCCAUCCAUGUAAAUAAUAGUAAUAGUAAUAAUAGUUAGGCAUCCAGUACUGCUUACCAAAUAGAAGCUAAUUCCUGCAAAUUACAUGAAAAUUGCACGAAAUAUCAUUAUCCUUAUUUUCUUGAUUUCACCUUCAUUGUGUAUUUUUCUCCAGCAAUUCCAAACUUACGAAGAGGAUUCGGGCCACGUUCUAUGCAUCAUAUGGAAUGCGGCCAUUUUUCUGUGUAAUUUGUGAGGCGUUAUAUUACAUGGAGCUUGACUUCUUUCUUUCUAUCAAGGGUCAGAUGGCAUUGGUGAGAGUUUCUUCUGUUUCUUUGUUGAUUGUUUUGCUUUUGGCUUUUUUAUUAAAGUUAUUUUGAAUCCGCUUUCAGAUUGUGUGUUUAAUGAUUUGAUUAAAUUAGUGUUUAGUUAAAUGUAUUUGGAUUUCUGGAGUAUUUCAGCAGUUAAUGAUGAAAUUCAGCAUUAAAUUAACUCAUAAUCAUUCUAAUUAUUGAAUUUUUUGUCAUGAAAAAUCAUUUAGUAUUAUUGCGGCAGUAAAAUUCAAUGAAGUAGCAUUCAAUAUAUAAAUAAAUACGGUUUAAUCAAAUCGUACAUGUAUCAUUCAGCUUACAACAAUCGAAGGAACUGAAGUUUUCGGAGUGCUCAGUUUAAUCAAAUCAUGAGAAAUAAAUACGGUUGCAAAGUUGGAUACUUAUUAGUUGCUAUAAAUUUAACUAAGUCGUUAAACGUGUACGUGAUUGCCACUAGUAUUGAAAUCAAAACAUUCAAUUGAUUUAUGGUCUCAAGUAAUAAAGGUUCCACAAAUUUCUUUACAGAGCUUUCUUUUAUUUUCUUUCAUUUUCUAGCUUGCCAAACAAUAUAGAACUAAGUUUCUUUCAAUUAUAAACACCUGGCAAAGACACCAGGUUAAUUUUUAUCUCUUAGCACUCUGUUUUGCACCGAGAUAUCCAAUAUAUACUAGUUUAUCAGAUAAUUUUGAUUAAUGUUGAGUGAUAGUGUAUUAGUCUCCUAGUUAAUUAAAUGUGAAAACAUUAUACUAUAUACUAGUUGAUUGAUUCUAGUUUUUUUUAAUCUUCUUGUUAUUUUCCACGACAUAGCUGAUUUAAAGACUUGGCCCAACUCAUCCCUCUAUGUUCAUUUAAUGUUGCUAGUUUUUCUGCCCCAAGGUUGACUUGGUGGUAGGUUAUUUUGAUUAACUUGUAUUUUUGGCUGAAUAUUGACAAAAGCAAUCAGCUCAUGUAACGUACUCUGUUUUCCACUAAAAAUAUAAUCAUUUAUUACCUCUAGUUUAUCAAAUGAUCAUGAUUAAUGCUGCUAGGAAAGCUUUAUUAGUCUUUCUUUUAAUAUAUCAUUACCAAUCUUGCCAACUUUUGCUUAUCUUUUAACGUGGUCUUUGUUUAUAUUUCAUGAUCCCCGAAAUACACGUCAACGCAACCAUUUCCUAUAGCAAAUGUUUUUAACUCUUUUUAAGUUAUUGGAUUGCUGCUUUCCAUGCAUAUAAAUUAUGGAAUAGCUUACUUAAUCUUUCAUUAUCAUCACCAAAUCUCGAAUUGUUUGCAUUAUCUUCUUUUUGAAAAUGCUUCACGAAAUCAAAUUACUAACAGAAGUCAUAAAUGUCCUGCUCCAGCAUUUUCUUAAUCAUCCAACUUUUCUCAGAUUCUCUGAAAAUCCCUUAUACAUUUUCUGGUUCCCUUUUCUUAAUCAUCCUUUUUCUAAACCUUUUUUGCAGAUUUUUCACUGUACUCCCUUUUUUAUUUCUAGCUUUUUCAUUCCUUGCCCUCCUUGUCUCUUAUUUCUUGUUGCGAUUGGUUUUGUUUUCCCCUGUUUUCUCAAAGCAAAAUAAAAAUAAAAUAAAAUAAAAUAAAACAGGAUAAUGGAAAUUGUUACCUCCUUGUCUCUUAUUACCUUCGAGAAGCUGAAGAAUGAUGUUGAUAAACUAAAGAAUGCUAGAGACAGUGUACAGUAUAAAGUAGAUGAUUCCAAAAUCAAAGGGGACGGAAUUCAACAGCACGUUGAGGAGUGGCUGAUUAGUGUGGACGAGGUCAUCAGUGAAGUUAGGAAGCUUACAGAAGUUGAAGAAAAAUCAAACAACCAGUGUUUUAAUGGGUUGUGUCCCAAUUUGAAGACCCACUACCAGCUUAUCAAGAAAGCAGAAAGGGAGGUGAAUGCUAUUGUUGGACUCCAUGAAAAAAGGAAAUUUGACAGUGUUUCUUUCCGUACAAUUCCAGAGGAGAUAUGGCUUAAGUCCACCGAAGGUUUCAUUCACUUUGAAUCAAGAAAAUCCACUUUGAAGGAAAUACUAGGCUCAUUAAGCAAUCAUAACUUCAACAUGAUUGGGGUAUACGGGAUGGGUGGCAUUGGAAAGACAAUGUUGGUGAAGGAAGUCGCUGGGCAAGCCAAGGGAAAUAAUCUCUUUGAGAAGGUCAUUUCUGCGCAAGUAUCCCAAACACCACAAAUAAAGAAGAUACAAGAAUAAAUUGCAGAGAAGAUAGGUUUGGGAUUAGUUGAAGAGAUUGAAACUGUUAGAGCAGGGAGGCUAUAUGAAAGAUUGAAAGUAGAGAAGAAGAUCCUUAUAAUCUUGGAUGAUAUUUGGGGGAGUCUUGACUUGGAGGCUGUUGGAAUUCCAUUAGCAGAUGAUAACAGCAGAUGUAAAGUUCUGCUGACAGCAAGAAGUCUAGAUGUGUUGUCUUGUAAGAUGGAUUGUCAACAUAAUUCUUUUAUCGAUAUUUUGAAUAAGAAAGAAGCUUGGAGUCUUUUUAAGAAGAUGGCAGGUGAUUGCAUAGAAAAUAGUGAACUAAAAUCUGUAGCGACAGAUAUAGUCAAGGAAUGUGCUGGUUUGCCCAUUGCCAUUGUACCCGUAGCAAAGGCGUUGAAAAAUAAGAGUCUCUAUGAAUGGAGGAAUGCUUUACGACAAUUACAAAGGCCUUUUUUGAUAAGCUUCUCUGGGACACAAGCGGUGGCCUAUUCAACUGUAGAGUUGAGUUACAAUCAUUUAGAAGGUAGGGAACUUAAAGAAACAUUAUUGCUAAUAGGGUACUCGUUCAUCUGUUGUGUUGAAGACUUGCUCUGUUAUGGCAUGGGUUUGGCUCUGUUUCAAAACAUCAACACGUUGGAAGAAGCACGAGAUAGAGCGCUUACAUUGGUUGAUAAGCUCAAAAACCCUUGCUUGUUGCUUGAUGGAGUUACAAGUGAAUGGUUUGCUAUGCAUGAUGUUGUUCGUGAUGUAGCCAUAUCAAUUGCAUCAAGAGACCAACAUGUAUUCGUAGUGGAUAAUGAUGUUGUCCCACAGAUCAAAUGGCCAGAUAAGGAUAAACUAAAGGUUUGCACUGCAAUCUCCUUAAAUAAUAGUAAUAUUAGUGAGCUUCCUCAAGAGUUGGAAUGUCCACACCGUGAAUACUUUUCUAUUGGCAGUGAUCCUUCGUUGAGAAUCCCAGAUAACAUUUUUACUGAGAUGACAGAGCUUAGAGUACUUGUUUUGUUAAUUACCAAAGUUUAGCCGUACUUUUGAUAAUCAUUUGAUAAUUAAAUGCGUGCUAGUGAGGAAAUACUCUUAAUUAAUUAAUGUGUUAGUGGAGAGUAUGUAGUGUUAUUAUUAUUUCCUAAACAAUAAUGUUUAUAGGAAAAGUAAAACUACAAAAAAAAAAAGGGGGGAAAAUAAUUGACCAUUAAGUGUCCAUUUUGUAUGAUUUCUCUACUAAUAGAUCAAGAGAGUAAUUUUGCUUUUGAAUAUUUUUUGGCAUCGUUUGGCUAUAAAUUGAAUAGAGUUUAUUAAAAAUAUUAUUUUGUCUUUAUUAGGAGAAGUUUAAAUUUUGGACUUCUAGGAGAAUAGGUUGUAGAGCUCCUUAAAAGAAUUAGAUUUUCUAAAAUACACCUAUUUAACUGCAUGCAUAAUCCUAUUUCAUUUGUUUUAUAACAUAUAGGUUUAAUAGGAUCCAGCUACUUUGCAACAGUUGCAAGGUGCCACCAUUUUUGUCUUAUGGAGUUAUGUUAUGCAUGUUAAAUUUUCUUUAACCCCUUACUAGCCUUCUUAUUUACCUUUUUUUUUUUUAUAAGUUUAUAUACUUUAGCUGGUGACCUUUGAAAAUGUAAUUUUAUUUUAUUUUUUUACAUUUAUUUAUAAGUUUAUAUGCUUUGGCUGGUGACAUUUUAAAAUGUAAUUUUAUUUUUUUAAUAUUAUUUAUUUUUUUAAAAGAAUAAAUAUAAUAAUAAGUUUAUGACUAAAUAAUAUUUAUUUUUUACGACUCAAUAUUUUUUUUUAUUUUAUUUAAUAUUAUUUAACUUUUAAAAAAAUAAAUAUAAUAAUAAGCCUAUGAAUAAAUAAUAUAAAAUUAAUAAAAUUAAUUUUUUAAAAUAAAGUUAAUAAUAUUAUAAAUAAUAUUUAUUGUUUAAGGUUCACUAUUGAUUUUUUUAUUUAAUAUUAUUUAGUUUUUUAAAAGAAUAAAUACAAUUAUAAGCCUAUGGAUAAAUAAUAUUAAAUAAAAUAAAGUUAAUAAUAUUAAAAAUAAUAUUAAUUUUUAAGACUCAUUACUAUUAUUUUAUUUUAUUUAACAUUAUUUAGUUUUAUGAAAGAAUAAAUAUAAUGAUAAGUUUAUGACUAUAAAACGUUAAAUAAAAUAAAAUAAAUAAUAUUAAUUAAAAAUUAUAUCUAUUUUUUAUGAUUCACUAUUGAUUAUUUUAUUUUAUUUAAUAUUAUUUAGUUUUUUGAAGAAUAAAUAUAAUAAUAAGCAUACGCUAAAUAAAAUUAAAUAAAAUGAAAAUAAAUAAUAUUAAAUAAUAUUUAUUUUGAAUAAAAUAAAUAACAUUAAAAUUUUAUUCUUUUAAAUAAAAAUAUAUAAUAUUAAAAUUAAAAUAUUUUUUAAGACUUACUACUAAUUAAAUAAUAUAAAUUGGAAACAAUAAAGACUUAUAUGCUAAAAAUUUUAACUCUUUCAUUUUUUUGUGUUUUUAAUACUUAUCAAGAAUAUAAUGUUAGUAUUCAAAUGGACAAAUCUCUACCAUUGAAAUUACCUUUUUCAUUAAAUCCAAAGGUAAAGGAAUAAAAUAAAAAAAAAAAUUAGUUGUACCUUGCAGCCGUUGCAAAGUAGAUGAGUCCAGGUUUAAUAAACUUGUUACUAAAGUAAUUUUAAUUUACAACUUUUUUUAAAAGCUUUUUUUUUAUAACUAAACAACUAAAGAUUUUCAUUAAAAACUUUAAGGAUCCUCUUCCUCUAAGUUACAGUUACAGCUGCGUUUGUCUUUUUCUGAAUUCUUGCUGUAAAAUAUUGUUCAGCCCCUUUUACUUAAUAGUAUUUACAAUUUAUCAAUAAGUAUAUAAAAAUUUCUAUAUUGUAACAUUUCGUUCAGCCCCUUGCACUCUAUUUUAUUUCAUUAAAAACCUUAGCGUAUCAAAUUUAUCCCCUAUAUUUUUUAAAUUCCCAAACUACCCUCCAUUUAAAUAAAAAUAAUUAUUAUUAAAUGGAUUAUAAUUAUAAUUACUAGUUUAUUGUAAUUACUAUUAAUAAGAAUAAUAAAAAGUAUUGUAAUUAAUUAAUCUAUUAACAAUAAUUAAUAAUAAUUUUUUAGUUAAAUUGUUAAUAAUAACAAUUGUUAUUUAAACAUUUUUGAAUUUUUUAGUUAAAUCAUUUAUAGAACUAAACACAAAUUUAAUCAAAUCAUUAAACAUGUACGUGAUUGCCACUGGUAUUAAAAUCAAAACAUUCAUGCAACGAUUAAUGAUCUUAAAUUUAAGGUUAAAAAUGACCUAAUCAAUUUAAGCAACUACGUCCAAAUGAUUUUGGUUUUGAUGUUUACAAAUAUGAAUUUUUCUUUUCGGCUCAAAUUUCACUAAUGAAUACACCAAAACCUCAAAAGUUUUUCUUUCACUUUGAUGAUUAUAUUGUGUUCACUGAAAAAAUAUUAGAGCACCUUCGUUGCACUACACCCACUUAGUGUACAUAUGACAUAUAUGUACUAGAGCGCAAUAGUUAUAUUUAAUUCACACAUACAUCAUUCAGCUUUUGGAAUUCGUCAUUGGGGUCCUCACGUGUAAGCAUCACGUGCACCACUAAUUCUGAGUUUCUGACCAAGUCAAAGUUCAGUUAACAUUCUUUGCAGCAGGAAGGUGGUUUGGUGACUGGUGAAUAGCUCACUCAACUUGUGAACCGUGAUUAGUCAAAUAAUCAAGUACACGUGGCAUCAUGAAACGCUUCGAAGAAUAACCUCGGAAGGUCUGUCCACUGUCCAGUAUGAUGACAUGUCAGCAACGUUUUACAACAGGAAGCAGCUAUGGUGUAAGCAUGGUAGUGGUAGCGUAGAAGCUGUGUAUGCAUAUCACCCGUCUGUUGAAAUGCUCGCAGUAAUCAAACCUCUUAUAACACUGCUUCAUCUGUCAAGUCAAAUUUUCCUCGGAGUCAAGAAAUGGAGAACUAACAGGUAUGCAUUUCUGAAACCAUUAUUAUAUUCAAACACAAGGAUUCGUAUAAAAGCUUAUAAAUGAUUAUGAAAGUAAGCAUGACGGAAUCAGCAUUUCUUGAUUUUCUUCAAUAAGCGGAAAUAGUGUUUCCCAAUAAAUUUAUAAAAGAUGCGUGAAAACAUUAUAUUAUAUACUAGUUGUAGUUGAUUGAUUUUUCUUUCAAUCUUCCUGUAAUAUUCCACGACAGAGCUGAUUUAAAGACUUAGCCCAACUCAUUCCACUAAGUUCAUUAAAUGUUAAUAAUUUUCUGCACCAAGGUUGACUUGAUGGUGCGUUAUUUUCAAUUUUUUUCAUUGACUUGUAUUUUUGGUUUAAUAUUCACAAAAAAUAAAGAAAGCAAUCAGCUCUUGUAACGUGCUCUGUUCUGUUUUCCACUAAAAAUAUAAUUAUUUGUUACCUCUAUUUUAUCAAAUAAUCAUGAUUAACGCUGCUGGGAAAGCUUUAUUAGUCUUUCUUUUCUUUUAUCGUGGUCGUUGUUUGUAUUUGAUGAUCCCAAAAUAAACGCUACGCAAUAUAGCAAUUGUCGAUUCCACAGUAAAGCAUAUAAAAUAAUAAGUAGGUUAUGUGAUCUUUCAUUGUCAUCACCUAGUAAGAUUGACGAUUGUAGUGCUACGUUAUUUGUCACCUUAGCCUGGAUAUAAAGCUUAAAAUCUUGUCAUAGGGUAAUAAUAUCAGUAAACUUUUGACAAAUCACUGAUCAAUUGAUCUUUUCAAGUCACUUAUUUCGUUUCCAUCGGAUUUGACGCCAUCAAACUACAAAAAUUUAUGUAAAAUUUUUGAAGUAAAAGAUUGUCUUACCCAUUAUACACGAUAGAAUCUUGGAUCAUGAAUGAAAUGAUGACAAUUUCAAUUUAAAGAUUUCAGCCUCAAGACCCAUAUAGGUUAUUGAGCGAACGACUUAUCAAAAUGAGAAAGCUACAAAAUAUGUGACAAUAUGAGGACAACAAAGAAAGCCAUCAGCUCUUGCAUUGCAUUCUGUUUUGCACUAAAAAUAUAAAUCAGUGAUCACCUCUAGUUUAUCAAAUAAUCAUGAUUAAUGCUGUAAGGAAAGCUUAAAUAGUCUUUAUUCCUUGUUUGUAUUUGAUGUUAGUCACCGCAACCAGUAUUAUUCUCGCAUUGUGUGCUUUAACUAUGAUCUUCUCUAAUUAAAAAUUGAGAUCCUCUCUUAAAUAGAGUUUACACUUGAAAAAUAUGUAUACAUUACCAUUCAUGUAUUGUCAAAAUUUGAGCUUAAGAUCCAACUAUUUACAAAUUAUUAAUUAUAUUUGUUGGUGAAAGCAAAUUAAUUAGAAGAAUGUGACAAUAAGAAGAUAAAAAAACUUGCUCAAAUUCUUCGCCGUGGGCUCGCUUACAAAUCCACUAGCUUAGCUUUUAAUCACACACAUAAAUCUUCAUCAUCACAUAUUAUACAAUAAUCAAAGCUAAUUAUUGAAACCUUUCUCUCAAAGUGAAAAGGAAAAAUUAUUGAAAUCUUCCGAGUUUGAAAAUGAAGGCAGCACUUGCAACUUCCAGGAACCUUCGUGGAAGUGUAGAGCUGAGUACAUCCAACUGUUCCAUUAAAUUUAAAUGCCGAAAUGAUUUCGAGGACCCACACGACCACGCAAGAGGUUUUUCUUUUUUCAUUUUAUUUGUAUAUCUAUUUCUUAAAAAAAUAAAAAAUCAUAAAGUCCCGAAACAUGGGCUUUAUAGCGGAGUUAUUAGAAAAGCGCAAGAAAAUUCAAUAAAAAUUCCAAAAAAAAAAAAUCAUAAAGUCCGGCAACGGCAGCAUAGCACUUACUGGUAACAAGAAAAUUCAAUGAAAUGCCAAAAUGCCACCUUGCGCUGUCCAAUUAACCUAUAACUUUGACACUAUUUACAUGCAACUAUAACCAUCUAUCUCAGUUAUUAAGAAUCUAUAGUUGACUUGGAAGCGUGAGUCUUCUCCAUGUAUGAAUUUAGUUUGGCUUUUUUGCAGUAUUCAGAUUACCCUUGAGACUUGAGAUGACAACUGUCUGCCUCUGCAUUUCCCUAAUCUCCAGAGUUCUCUGAAAUCUCUUCUUCAUUUUCGGUCUCCCUUUUCUGAAUCGUUCAUGUCCUCGAUCCUACACCUUCUUUGCAAAUCUUUCAUUUUCUGCCUUUACAAAGGAUCCCCUUUGUUUCAUCUCUAGAUUUUUCACUCUUUGCCUCUCCUCCUCCCUUAAAUCUAUUCAACCUCUUAUUUUAGCAAUUUAUCCAAACUUCUUAUUUCCCUCAUCCCAG
rnacentral:lncRNA from 1 species